rnacentral:lncRNA from 1 species
UUUUUUUACAUAUUUUCUACUAUAAAUUCCUAUGUUUUCUUAUAGUAUAUGCAAUUGAAGUAUAUUUAUUUUUUCUACAUAAUCAUUGAUCUGCAUUAUAUUCUUAAUAUGGAUUUUUUGAUCUAUGUACCCAUUCGAAGCCAAAAAACUAAAAUCUAUGCAGGUUUCAUGUCUUUUAGUUUUUAAGUUUAGAAAAACAUGGCAACUUACAUAAAAGAGCAGAUGCAAAAAAUUUGUCAUUAUCAUGCGUCACCAUUCUUCGAUUGGUAAAAGCAGUUCAAGUAGUGCAUAUACAACAUAUCAUGCAGUUCAAAUGAGAUAAGUGCAGAUCAUACAUAUCAAGUGGGAUACAUAUAUUCAAAUCAAGCAGGUCAAAUGAUUUAACAUAAUUGUGAAUGGUAAAAGCAGUACAAAAAUCAGAUUAUAUUUAAGUAAUGAGUGAGAAUAGGAAAAAGAGUUGUUGUUAUUUAUAGAAGAUAAAUAAAAAAAUUUCAAUUAAUUUAAUUUACAAAAUCAUGUAUUGGGUAGAAAAAGAAGAAGUAAUCGCCGAAUAGCUACAAAAGUUGUAUGGACUGUGGGAACCGAAAUUCACACCG